UGCAGUCGAGCGGUAACAGAUCCAGCUUGCUGGAUGCUGACGAGCGGCGGACGGGUGAGUAAUGCAUAGGAAUCUGCCCGAUAGUGGGGGAUAACCUGGGGAAACCCAGGCUAAUACCGCAUACGUCCUACGGGAGAAAGGGGGCUCCGGCUCCCGCUAUGGGAUGAGCCUAUGUCGGAUUAGCUAGUUGGUGAGGUAACGGCUCACCAAGGCCACGAUCCGUAGCUGGUCUGAGAGGAUGAUCAGCCACAUCGGGACUGAGACACGGCCCGAACUCCUACGGGAGGCAGCAGUGGGGAAUAUUGGACAAUGGGGGCAACCCUGAUCCAGCCAUGCCGCGUGUGUGAAGAAGGCCCUCGGGUUGUAAAGCACUUUCAGCGAGGAAGAACGCCUAGCGGUUAAUACCCGCUAGGAAAGACAUCACUCGCAGAAGAAGCACCGGCUAACUCCGUGCCAGCAGCCGCGGUAAUACGGAGGGUGCAAGCGUUAAUCGGAAUUACUGGGCGUAAAGCGCGCGUAGGUGGCUUGAUAAGCCGGUUGUGAAAGCCCCGGGCUCAACCUGGGAACGGCAUCCGGAACUGUCAAGCUAGAGUGCAGGAGAGGAAGGUAGAAUUCCCGGUGUAGCGGUGAAAUGCGUAGAGAUCGGGAGGAAUACCAGUGGCGAAGGCGGCCUUCUGGACUGACACUGACACUGAGGUGCGAAAGCGUGGGUAGCAAACAGGAUUAGAUACCCUGGUAGUCCACGCCGUAAACGAUGUCGACCAGCCGUUGGGUGCCUAGCGCACUUUGUGGCGAAGUUAACGCGAUAAGUCGACCGCCUGGGGAGUACGGCCGCAAGGUUAAAACUCAAAUGAAUUGACGGGGGCCCGCACAAGCGGUGGAGCAUGUGGUUUAAUUCGAUGCAACGCGAAGAACCUUACCUACUCUUGACAUCCUGCGAAUUUGGUAGAGAUACCUUAGUGCCUUCGGGAACGCAGAGACAGGUGCUGCAUGGCUGUCGUCAGCUCGUGUUGUGAAAUGUUGGGUUAA
rnacentral:rRNA from 1 species